UAAAACUGAUAUAAAUUAAUUUUGGAAGUGAUAAAAAAUGUGGAAGUGGUUGGAUAAAUAAAUGUGUUUGAUCAAAUUUUAUGUUAUUUUAAGUUGUUUAUACGUAGUUAUAUAUAUAUAUAUAUAUAUACACACAUAUAUAUACACUUUAAAUGUAGAUGAAAAUGAGCAGCAUUGGCAAUUUAAAUUGAAAUGGUUAUUUUGUAUUGUUUAGAAUUAUAUAAAUUAUGUAUUCGUAAUUUAGGAUUAUGGUUAUUUAUAUAUGCAUACAUGGUUGACUAUGUGGUUAAAGGUAGUUAAAAAGUUAUUAAUGUUGUCAAGUUACAUUUAUAGGUUGUAUUUUAUAAUGGCACCAAAAAGGAAUUUGCGAUCUCAAUCGAAGAAGGGAGUUAAGAAGAUGCAAACUAAGAGACGCGGUGGCAGCAUAUCAGCACCUAACUCUAAGCGUCGACAAACUACUAGGCAACAAUCCAAAGCUGAGAAAGAAACCACCAAACUUCCAGGGCACGUUCCACUCUCCUCUUCCUCAUCUGAGAUGUCAUCCAUCAAAGGCCGUUAUCCCAUAUGGGAGGCAUCUCGAAGCACAUAUUCAUGUGAUUCGACACUUCGUAGCUAUGUGCGUGGGAAGUCACCCAAACUUAGCGUGCCGUGAUGGAGAUGUGAUUAUUGUACAUCCCUGUCAACAAUGGAGGUGCCCAUUGGUUGGCAGCAUGUGUGGACUUGAAAGCUCGACAUAUUGAUUUAUACGAUCCAAAUAUGGGAAAUAAAUAUGUCUAGAAUA